rnacentral:lncRNA from 1 species
GUGGGAGGAUCUGAAGGCAGCACAGCGUUCCUGUUAGCUGAGAACACAAUGACUGAUGUCGAUAAAGUUCACCUGCAGUAACAGCAGUUGUAAAUCGUGUCUGUUUCCUUACAGCUCUUAUUCAUUUAGCACAGAAUUGUUCCCUUGCUGACUAUCUCCAUCAGACUGAGCUAAAUCAGUGAGAUGAUAAUCGCUAAGUCAGAAAAACACCUUUAAGAGGUUGAGCAAGAUGGCUGAAGAGAGGCACCCAGCACAUACCUGCUCUCUGCACAAAGGUUUCCAAGCAACAGCUGUAUGUCUAUAUUCUGAAGUGAGUCACUGUGACAGAACACCAAGAAUCAAUACUAGACAUACUAGAAACUUGUAAGAUUCAGAAACUGGAAGGGUAACAGAGACACCAAAUAUCUCAGUACCUGCUGUCAGAACACCAUAGCCAGAAAGUGAUUAGUCUCUCAUUUCUGUAUCAUACAGAUGAAAGAUGCAGUCCUAGUAAAUUUUGUCAGCAUUAAAAGCAGGAUUUAUAGCUGUAAGUAUGCUUCACUGCCUUUAUAGAACUGUAGCCUAACUAGGUGAAUAACUGAAAUCAGUACAGGAGCCUUGCUUCGGAAAAGGGUAUCGGAGAAAAUGAAAGCUGAAAGUCAUCUUCGGAUAGAAACUACUGUCUGAAUUCCCACUACUCUAUGGAGUGACCAACCCUAGAGGAGCCCCAAAGACACUCUACAGCGAUGGUUCACAGAAAAGAUCUUUGAAAUACAUAAGUUUCUAUACACUAGCUACCCCACUGUGUGGUGCUUAUGCUUAAAUCGUGAAGCCCUAUAUCCAGUGAAAAACCUCAGUCCUCAGCAAACCAAGAUAGAGUCUCACUGUGAUUCUGUCCCUGAGCACUGUAGAAUAAGGAAGGAUCAUUUCCAGAAGCUAGAAGCAGCACUAUUACCCAAGAAAGCUUCAGAAUCGUCCAAGUGGAUGCCAAAGAUCAUCAUAUCACACUAACCUUUAAAAUCAAGUUGUCUGCAGACAAAAGGACAUUUUCCUCCAGUUGUCUAAGUUAUAGGGAGUUUUGUUUGUAGCCCUGCUAAACUUACACAGAAAAGAAAAGGAAACAGUCAGAAUUAUGGGACUGUGUAUGAAAAAAAAAAAAAAAAAAAAACAACGAUGCCCAAAGUGAGGGACUAUAAGUCGCCGUAAUCCCUAGCAAAGUUACCUGGUAUUUUUAAUCAAUCAUCAAACAUUCAAAUGCCUUAUGGGUAUUUAUUUAAUACUGUACUAGAUGCUUGCCUUAAAAUAAACAAAC